AGAGUUUGAUCCUGGCUCAGAUUGAACGCUGGCGGCAUGCCUUACACAUGCAAGUCGAACGGCAGCAUGAUCUAGCUUGCUAGAUUGAUGGCGAGUGGCGAACGGGUGAGUAAUACAUCGGAACGUGCCCUGUAGUGGGGGAUAACUAGUCGAAAGAUUAGCUAAUACCGCAUACGACCUGAGGGUGAAAGUGGGGGACCGCAAGGCCUCAUGCUAUAGGAGCGGCCGAUGUCUGAUUAGCUAGUUGGUGGGGUAAAGGCCCACCAAGGCGACGAUCAGUAGCUGGUCUGAGAGGACGAUCAGCCACACUGGGACUGAGACACGGCCCAGACUCCUACGGGAGGCAGCAGUGGGGAAUUUUGGACAAUGGGCGAAAGCCUGAUCCAGCAAUGCCGCGUGUGUGAAGAAGGCCUUCGGGUUGUAAAGCACUUUUGUCCGGAAAGAAAUGGCUCUGGUUAAUACCUGGGGUCGAUGACGGUACCGGAAGAAUAAGGACCGGCUAACUACGUGCCAGCAGCCGCGGUAAUACGUAGGGUCCAAGCGUUAAUCGGAAUUACUGGGCGUAAAGCGUGCGCAGGCGGUUGUGCAAGACCGAUGUGAAAUCCCCGAGCUUAACUUGGGAAUUGCAUUGGUGACUGCACGGCUAGAGUGUGUCAGAGGGGGGUAGAAUUCCACGUGUAGCAGUGAAAUGCGUAGAGAUGUGGAGGAAUACCGAUGGCGAAGGCAGCCCCCUGGGAUAACACUGACGCUCAUGCACGAAAGCGUGGGGAGCAAACAGGAUUAGAUACCCUGGUAGUCCACGCCCUAAACGAUGUCAACUAGUUGUUGGGGAUUCAUUUCCUUAGUAACGUAGCUAACGCGUGAAGUUGACCGCCUGGGGAGUACGGUCGCAAGAUUAAAACUCAAAGGAAUUGACGGGGACCCGCACAA
rnacentral:rRNA from 1 species